rnacentral:rRNA from 1 species
AGAGUUUGAUCCUGGCUCAGGAUGAACGCUAGCUACAGGCUUAACACAUGCAAGUCGAGGGGCAUCAUGGCGGUUGCUUGCAACCGCCGAUGGCGACCGGCGCACGGGUGAGUAACGCGUAUCCAACCUGGCCGUUGCCACGGCACAGCCCGCCGAAAGGCGGAUUAAUGCGGUAUGAGGCGCUUCGAUGGCAUCAGAAGAGCGCCAAAGCUUCGGCGGCAGCGGAUGGGGAUGCGUCCGAUUAGGCAGCAGGCGGGGCAACGGCCCACCUGGCCGACGAUCGGUAGGGGUCCUGAGAGGGAGGCCCCCCACACUGGGACUGAGACACGGCCCAGACUCCUACGGGAGGCAGCAGUGAGGAAUAUUGGUCAAUGGGCGGAAGCCUGAACCAGCCAAGUAGCGUGCGGGACGACGGCCCUAUGGGUUGUAAACCGCUUUUUCACGGGGAUAAAGUGCGUCACGUGUGGCGCUUUGCAGGUACCGUGCGAAUAAGGACCGGCUAAUUCCGUGCCAGCAGCCGCGGUAAUACGGAAGGUCCGGGCGUUAUCCGGAAUCAUUGGGUUUAAAGGGAGCGUAGGCCGCAUGUCAAGCGUGCUGUGAAAUCCCGGGGCUCAACCCCGGAAGCGCAGCGCGAACUGGCGUGCUUGAGUUGCAUCGAGGCAGGCGGAAUUCGUGGUGUAGCGGUGAAAUGCUUAGAUAUCACGAAGAACCCCGAUUGCGAAGGCAGCCUGCCAGUUGCACACUGACGCUGAUGCUCGAAGGCGCGGGUAUCGAACAGGAUUAGAUACCCUGGUAGUCCGCGCGGUAAACGAUGGAUGCCCGCCCUUGGGCCGCUACGGUUCAGGGGCCAAGCGAAAGCGUUAAGCAUCCCACCUGGGGAGUACGCCGGCAACGGUGAAACUCAAAGGAAUUGACGGGGGCCCGCACAAGCGGAGGA